CCUACGGGAGGCAGCAGUGAGGAAUAUUGGACAAUGGUCGAAAGACUGAUCCAGCCAUGCCGCGUGCAGGAAGACGGCCCUAUGGGUUGUAAACUGCUUUUGUUUGGGAAGAAACCUUUCUACGUGUAGAAAGCUGACGGUACCAUACGAAUAAGCACCGGCUAACUCCGUGCCAGCAGCCGCGGUAAUACGGAGGGUGCAAGCGUUAUCCGGAUUUAUUGGGUUUAAAGGGUCCGUAGGCGGACUUAUAAGUCAGUGGUGAAAUCCUGCAGCUCAACUGUAGGACUGCCAUUGAUACUGUAAGUCUUGAAUUCGGUUGAAGUGGGCGGAAUAUGGCAUGUAGCGGUGAAAUGCUUAGAUAUGCCAUAGAACACCGAUUGCGUAGGCAGCUCACUAAGCCUGGAUUGACGCUGAGGGACGAAAGCGUGGGUAGCGAACAGGAUUAGAUACCCUGGUAGUCCACGCCGUAAACGAUGAUUACUCGACAUUAGCGAUACACGGUUAGUGUNAUAGACGAAGAGAUAAGUAAUACACCGUCGGGUAAGGUACGUUACGUUCGAGAAGUUAGAAACGUAACGAAGGAAGUUAGUACGGACGUUGAGACGAGCGACGGACGACGACGAGGGAGGAGGAGG
rnacentral:rRNA from 1 species